GAAUCGCUGAGGAGUUCCAUACUAGGACGAAACGGCUGUCCGGUGC
rnacentral:hammerhead_ribozyme from 1 species